GCAUUGGGCAAUGAAGGAAUAUCCAAUGAAAAUUACUCUGGAUGUCUCCAAUACGUGAGCCAGAAUUUGUUUAAAAGAAAAAAAUAAAUCUGAAGAAAUCACUCCUGGUGGUAACAUCUGACCUCUUCAUCCAAAAAGCAGCCUCCAUCUACUUCAAGAAGGUGCGAUGUGUCCAGGCUCAGAGGGCCCCCUCAAGUGCACUGUUCCUGCAGCCAGAAGUCUCAAUGCUGCACAGUCUGCAAUGCCAGAGAGACUGAGCUUUGGUCCCACCUCUGAAAUACUUCAUGCUGGACAGGCCCUCCCAAAGCAGUGGCCACACGAGAGAGAGAGAGAGCUACAAGUCCCAAGAGUCCAGAGACUGAAGAAUCUGAAUUGUCAAAUACAGUGUUUGAUCCCAAC